AUGUGGCUAGUGGGUAUCAUAUUGGUAGGCACGGUAAGAACUUGGUCCCCAUCCCAGUCAUACCGCCUGGUCCCUGCAGAGAGCCGUCGACACAGAGCUCAAGCCACGUGUCGUUUCUUCCCUCCAGUGUCAGAGCAGACCAAGUCCUGUGGUCAGGGCAAUUGGAGCGACUCCUCCCGAGUCAGGCAGAGUGCAAGGCUCAGCUGGUCCCAGCAUCGUAACUCCCCAGGCAAACGCAGUGCACUGAAGAGGAGAGGGCGUAGAGCCCCCGCUGGUGCCCAGACUGACGCUCAGGUGCACGUGAACACAAACUCCAUCCGCUAUGCCCCCGGGGCCCAGACCCUGUCUCCACCCAUUCUCCUCCCGUGCUUCCCCAUCUCGCUGUCCAACCUCCCUAAGAAACGACCUGCAUCAACCAGGAUGCUAAAUCAAGAGCAUUUCAUCUUGACACCCAAUGCCCUCUCAGUAGUGUUGGACCUGGGAAGCAGUCCCUCCCGAAAUGCCAGGGAACCAGGGUGUGAGGUCACUUCUCCCUCAUUUUGUCCCGCCUCCCUGGGGUCAUUUCUCUCACCUGUGAGCAGGUGUGUCCUUCAGAGCCUCAUCCUGAGCACUGGGCAUCUCCCACAGUUUCCACCUGUGGUCUCAGUGUGUCCACAUCUGCCUUCCCUCCCAGAUCCCUCCUCUGAAACCCAGAACGGAGACUCACUCCCCCCUAACCCUUCCAGCCACCAGGCGCAGCACAUGGAUCCAAGGGCAGACUCCACCCUGGGCACUCCCAGCAUCCAGAGGCCAGGAGACACAUGGACUCUCAACCCACGCAUCCAUCCUGGGUCCCUGUCCUCUCUGCCCUCACGUCUGGAGCAUCGUGUGUUCUGUCAUGGGUGGUCUCUGCCCUGCUCUGGCUCACAGCCUCGUGUCGGAGUACACACACAUGCUGUAUUACUCCCCGCCACGGCCUUCCUGCCUCCAGGGUUCCCCACCAUGUUCAGCAAAGGUUUUCACCUCCCACCUCCAAUUCCAGUCCUUCCGAGGUUUCCCGCUGAAUUUAGGAAGGGCAGCAGACUUCUCAGGGAGCUGAGGGCCCUGCAGGAUCUAAGCUCUGUGCAUGUGGCCAGCCCCUCACCCCCUCCACCUUCCUCACUCAUCUUCUUCAGGGCUCUGGGGCACCAGUGGUUACCCUCCAAGACCUCUGUCCCCCUCACUUCCACCUUCUCAUCUUACCAGUAA
rnacentral:lncRNA from 1 species